ACUAAAGCUAGCCCAACUAUAGACUAAAACUCAACUAACACAUAAACAUUAAACAAAACAUUUACUAAUUAAAGUAUAGGAGAUAGAAAUAUUUUUAAGGCGCUAUAGAGAAAGUACCGCAAGGGAACGAGUGAAAGAAAAAUUUAAAGUAAUAAACAGCAAAGCUUACCCCUUUUACCUUUUGCAUAAUGAGUUAACUAGAAAACCUUAGCAAAGAGAACUUAAGUUAAGUGCCCCGAAACCAGACGAGCUACCUGAGAGCAGCACACAAAGAGCGAACUCGUCUAUGUAGCAAAAUAGUGAGAAGACUUUCAGGUAGAGGUGAAAAGCCUAACGAGCCUGGUGAUAGCUGGUUGUCCAGAAAAAGAAUAUAAGUUCGACUUUAACCCAUGCAAAACAACACCAUAAAAAUUAUAAUGCAGGAUUAAAUGAUAAUCUAAAGAGGUACAGCCCUUUAGAUACAGGAAACAACCUUAAACGGAGAGUAAGUAUAAAAAACAAUCAUAGUUGGCCUAAAAGCAGCCAUCAAUUAAGAAAGCGUUCAAGCUCAACAAUACGUAUAUUGUAAUUUCAAUAGUUCAACUAACUCCCAAACUUCAACUGGACUAAUCUAUAUAAAUAGAAGAAAUACUGUUAAUAUGAGUAACAAGAAUUAUUUCUCCCAGCACAAGUCUAUAUCAGACCGGAUAACCCACUGAUAGUUAACAAACUAAUAAUAAGAAACUAAACAUAAAACACUUAUUACGCAGAUUGUUAAUCCAACACAGGUGUGCUAAAAUUAGGGAAAGAUUAAAAGAAGUAAAAGGAACUCGGCAAACAGAAACCCCGCCUGUUUACCAAAAACAUCACCUCUGGCAUUAAUAGUAUCAGAGGCACUGCCUGCCCGGUGACAUAAGUUAAACGGCCGCGGUAUCCUGACCGUGCAAAGGUAGCAUAAUCAUUUGUUCUUUAAUUAGGGACUUGUAUGAAUGGCCACACGAGGGUUUAACUGUCUCUUACUUCCAAUCAGUGAAAUUGACCUUCCCGUGAAGAGGCGGGAAUAAUAAAAUAAGACGAGAAGACCCUAUGGAGCUUUAAUUAGCUAGCUCAAGAAAAUAACAUAAUAACCCAACAGGCAACAACACUACCGUAACUGAGCUAGUAAUUUCGGUUGGGGUGACCUCGGAGUACAAAAUAACCUCCGAGAGAUUUCAGUUAAGACCUACAAGUCAAGACCUGUAAAAAUCAUAAUUGAUCCAAUUAAUUUUGAUCAACGGAACAAGUUACCCUAGGGAUAACAGCGCAAUCCUAUUUAAGAGUCCAUAUCGACAAUAGGGUUUACGACCUCGAUGUUGGAUCAGGACAUCCCAAUGGUGCAACCGCUAUUAAUGGUUCGUUUGUUCAACGAUUAAAGUCCUACGUGAUCUGAGUUCAGACCGGAGCAAUCCAGGUCGGUUUCUAUCUAUUGUAUAUUUCUCCCAGUACGAAAGGACAAGAGAAAUGAGGCCAACCCUGCAUGGGAGCCUUAAAAUUAAUAGAUGAUAUAAUCUCAAUCUAGUAAUUUAUAAGAAUUCUGCCCUAGAAAUAGGGCCUC